rnacentral:lncRNA from 1 species
AAAGGAAAAUGACAGAAGAAGGGAAGAGUGGAGGAAAGCAAAGCGAAUGUUAGAAAUUUGGGAGAGAGAGAGAACCAAAAUUUUGAAAAAAAUAAAAUAAAAUUAAUUCAAAUAAUAUCUAUCCUAACCUCCCUCUAACCACUAAAUCCCACUAACCCACUAACCACUAUCUCUCAACUCCUUCAAAAAUUCACUUCCACCCAACCUCUAUCUCACAACCGAAACAAAAAUAUCAUCCACGCUUUCACAAGGAAUCAAACACAAGACCUCCAGUAAGCAAACUCCUUACCACUUAAGCCAGCAAGCUCAUUUUAAUAUAAGUUCACUAAAGAUAAAGUAUAACCC